UAUGUGAUUGCUGGUUCAUAUAGUAGGUUUAUAUUUAACUUUGUAAGAAACUGACAAACUGUCUUCCAAAGUGGCUGAGCAAUUUUGCAUUGCAACCAGCAAC
rnacentral:pre_miRNA from 1 species